GCUGAGGGAAGUGGGAUACCCUGAGAGGAGAGGGAAUGGCUGAGGGAAGUAGGAUACCCUGAGGGGAGUGGAGAACCCUGAGAGGAGAGGGAUACCCUGAGGGGAGAGGGAAUGGCUGAGGGAAGUGGGAUACCCUGAGGGGAGUGGGAUACCCUGAGGGGAGUGGGAAUGGCUGAGGGGAGGGGGAUAUCCUGAGGUGAAAAGGAAUGGCAGAGAGGAGUGGGAAACCCUGAGGGGAAAGAGAAUGACUGAGAGGAGUGGAGAACCCUGAGGGGAGAGGGAUCCCCUGAGGGGAGCAGGAAUGGUUGGGAGGAGUGGGAUCCACUGAGGGCAGUGGGAUCCACCAGGGCAUCAACUCCACACCAACUCACCUGGAAAGGACCUGGUUAAAAGAUCAGAGAUUGUUAUAGGUGGAGGGAAAUAAAUGAUAUUCAAGUUUGGCAAAGAUUUCACUAUAAUCAAUGUAAAUCCGCGUAGGAAUUAUUUCAUGUGUCUUUAUAGCUGAGAUGAGCUCUUUGACUCCAUUCACUUUGUCUAUUCCAAGCUGUAAGAAAUUUUUAAAAUUAUUUUUAUAUCUGGAUUGUGCUGGUACAGACAGAGCCCAUCUCUGGGUUUAGGAAGGAGAAAUAAUCCCUAAAAAUGAGCCCUGAACUGUGCAUUUGCUGGUCUUGCAACACAGAGUGUAACUCAGGUUUUUACUCUAAUGUUACAUCAUUUCAGCCAGCACUCACUUGUACUUAACUCAUACGGGAGAAUCAUGUAAGGUACAGUGAAAAUGACUCUCAACAGCAACAGUUUAAUGUAUAUUUUGAUAUAAGAAUAUGGUGGUGUUUGUGCAGUGACACACAAGCCAUCAGGAACUACCUGCUGAGGAGUUUCUUGUUUAUUAGCUCUUAUAUUAAAGAAAUAAAGGGUAAUAACUUGGGUGUAGAUCUUGAACCUGCAAUUCGACAGACCCAGUCCAGCCCCUGAGCUCACAUUCCCCAAAUCUUCGAUAUCUUCUGUCUGAUCCAGGUUAAUUAGAAGCCAGGGUCCAGGAUUUUCUGACAUUCAGCUCAAAGCUGGUACUUUUACAAGAAAUAUAAAUAAGAGUAAUUAAUAUGUGUGAAACACUGUCAGAGUAUGGCGUCGAAAUACCAAAUUACUUGCUCACCUGGUUACAGAACAGUUCCUUCUGUAGCUCAAAACCACUGGAAAUUUCUGAACACCACAAAAAGUAAUCUGCAUUCCCACCUACACCUUUCUUUCUCAGUUUUUUACCUCCCCUUUUUUCUUUAUGAGCUGCCUGCUAGUGUCACAUCUCACUCCUUGUCUGGACAAGUCCCGGUGCUGUUUUGGGAUAGAUCCCAUCUGGAGCAAAGCUCUGCCCAUGUGUAAAACCUGUUCUGCAACAUCCUCUUUCUUAGGGAAACAAGUAUUCCUGUUGUGCUUGAUGCGAUCCCUGCUGGGUCCUGGAGCCAGGAGAGCGAGGAGGGGAACAGAACCAGCUUCCAGGAGGAGUCUUGUGAAGGCACUGGACACAGCUUGCCCUGGGCUGUGGCUGCUGGAGAGCAGAGGAGAGCUCAGGGGGAAAGAGUGUGUGAGGCAAGGUGAGAAAUAAGAGCACAGACGUCACCCACCCCUGCUGCGUGCGUGGAACAGAAAGAGCUGCUUGAAAGAUUACUUGAGGACAUCUGGGUUCCAGGUCAAACUCUGGAUCUUGACAGCUUUCAGUGUGACACUUCGGUGUACCUGCAUGCAGGGGCAGAAGGACACUUGUCCUUCAGCAGUGCAGUGUUUGCCAGGGAGUCUGAGCCUCUGAGUGAGUUUUACAGUGUAAAAUGUGUAAUUUUGCCACAUGAAAGUUAUAAAGAAACAGAGCAAAGAAUUAAUAUGAUUCAAAAAGAGCCUGAAAGACAGUGCUUGAACUUCCUGCUCUAAGCCCAGCGUGAGUCAUGGGCUCAGAACCCCCGUGGACCCUGAGAGGUGGCGUGUGGAGGGUUCGGUCUGGCUGACGUCAGCUGUGUGAAAUAGUCCCCAGUGCAGAACCAGUUUGCUAUGGGCAGAUCCCAAACCAUUUCCAUAUGUUACUUUGAAGAAGAAAAUGACUGGUAAGACUCAAAACAGAGGAAGCAAGUGCCAAGAAACAAAAUGCCCUGAAGUGGCCAGAUCUAACAGAUAGACCAGUGGGGGAAUCCAUCUCCAUCUGCCAGACAUGCCUGCUGCAGCACAGCUCUUCAGACUCCCAGCGUGCUUCCCAGCUGGAAGGCUCCCAACACCCAAGGGGCAACACUGGGAACAUUUUACCUCCUGAGUCAGUGCUGACGAGCUCAGCAUGAGGCAGGCUGUGAUUAUCAGAGCUCUGUCACACAGCUCUCCUGUGUUGGCUGAACCACAGCCUCUACGGCAUUUUUGAAAAAGCCUGGAUACCCUGGUUAAAUCCUGACAUUGAUAAUGCUGCUCUUCCUGCCACCCAGCCAGGCUGAUGAACUUGAACUCAGUGCUCUCUUUUCUAGCCUAGGGAGUUCUGUCCUAGAUCAGAUUAGCCUCCAUCUCAACAGCAGGGCAAGAAGUCUUUAAGCAGCCUCCUGACAAUAUUUGUUGGGAACUCCUUGCUCAGGUGUCUCUGCACUUCAAGGACUCUCCCUCUCCUCAGCUCCAGAUGAGGACAGGCAUUAAUGCAGUGGGAAACAGUUCCAGGUCCGGGUUAGGCUGCCCCACAAGACAUGGGAGAUAGAAAACAGCACCUGAAGUGGGGCAAAAAAAGCUGCUGCAAGGCUCAUGCCUCCAGAGAGAAGGAAGGAGAUGGGAGAGCAGCAGGUCUGUGCUUCCUGCAGUUUGGAUCUGAGCAGGCUUUGUCCUGCAUCAUUAACUUCAUACAACCUCUGGGCAGCCUCAGCAGUUCAUGAACUGCCCAAGCAUCUGCAAAUGUUAUUCUUCACUUCCAGAUCUCUCUGACACAGACCAAAUUAAAGAGCACCAAGAUAGUGUGCAGCUACUGAUGACUUCUUUUCCGAGAAUGCCUGUGAAAUACUCCCAGUGUUUCUUUUGUAACAGAAUGUAAAUACCCUCAUUGAAAAGAAUCCUCAGUUCUUCUGCUUUUAACACAGUCUGGGGAGAGCUCCCUCUCUGAGUAUCAUCUGGGACACAGUUCUUCUGCAAAAUAAAUGCACACAUAAAAGCAUUCAAAACAUUUGAAUUUGCUUAUGUGCUUUUCUCGGUGCAAAGCAGGUGGCAAAGUAAACACAUUGGUCAGAUCCACUCUCCUUGGUCUGGACUGCCAUCCAAACAAUGUCUGGACCAACAUCUAACAAACUGGCUACAGAAUCAAGCCAUUUCUGAGGCAAGUUGCUGCCUCCCUCCCACAAGAUAAUAGAGCAUUUUCCCAGAUGGAAGGAACCCACUUGAAAAACAAAAGGUCUUUGAAAUGUCAGCUCAGGCUUGCUUGGCCCGCACUGUGUGCCCACAGGAAAACGAUAGAGCCUUUUUUCAUUCUCCAGCUGUAACACUUUCAUCUGAAGCAGCACGAUGAUUAAGAAUUGCAGCUCUAGAUUCCUGCUCUCCUACUGAUUUCCAGCCUUUCCUGUGGAAGUCAUUUAGCCUCACUCUAUCUCCAGCACAAUGAGGAUAAAAGCACUCUCUGGGCUGAGCAUGGAUCCAAGCUCAUGAGAGGUUUGCAUGCUCCAGUAAUGGGGAUCAGUAAUUGAACUGCUUGAACAAGCUCCAAGCCAGUCACAGGAGAACUGAUCCAGUGUGGCUGGCAAACUUGUCAGGACAUGGCAUCCACAUGGAUGGAUGCUCCCUUGGCUCUGUGGGCACCACAGUGCUGUGGGCAGUGUAGGUGCUACUCUGCAUUCUCUGUUUGAGCUCUGCUAUUAAUGCAUUUAUUACACCAACAUUUUGUGCCACUUCUCCAAACCCCUCCUUGUCUCCUCUAGCAUGGAAGAGGAGAAAGUCCCCCAGGGGAUAAAUCUUCCAUGCUAAGAGCUUGGGCAGUGAGCCUACCUCUCCCAAAAUUCUCCCUCCCAGCUGCUCCCUGCUCUGCUCACACCAGGUUGUGUGGGAACCCAACGUUCCUCUGGCUGUCAGGACCUCCGUAUGUUCCCAGUCUCCCUCUCACAAUGCAACUGUUCUGAUCUCUCACAUCAGAAUAUUUUUUGAUCUUUAGAUAAUUACAGAGGAAUUAUAAUUUGUGCUGUAUCCAAGAGUUAAAGGGAAGGCAAAAGUUUCUCUCUCCCACUUUUAACCCAUUUGCUCUCUGUAAAGGUCUUACGAUUCUCAGCUGAAAACACUCCAAGACUUUCAAGAGUCCAGUGUGCACCCCCAAGAGCCAGGAAGAUGAGCCACCCUUGGCCUGUGUCGCUCCUGUGAGCAGUGUCAGGCCCCCAGGGAGAUAAUUCAUGACCAGGGCAAGUGUGAUGUCCUAAUGCUACUUAGGGAAAUGGAGCAUUUGCCAGAGCGAGGACAAGAUAAGGAACAUUAAUCCAUUUUACAAGGAAAUGCAACAUCCAGUUGUGAGCUCUCCCCUGAUCUCAUCAAGCACAGCUCCCUCCCUGGCAGGACCUGGGACAGGGUCAGCACCUAAAACAGAAAAGGAACAAGCACCAAAAGCAAAGCUCACAAAGCCUUGCUGACAUCCUGGCUGUGGAGUCUGCCAUUCUCCUGUUCUGUUCUUCCUGGCUGAUGCCAGUGCCAGCACAGGGCUCUCAGGGUCCCCAUGAAUCUGUCCCAAUUUCUGUACCUUAAACAGGGGGCAAAGAAUUCCCUGUGCACAUAGCACACACAUCUCCCCUGUGUCCCCCUUCCCCUCCCCACUCCAUGUUAGAACCUGUCCAGACAAUUUAGCAAGACAAGCCAGUCUGCUGGUGACUCUCACAAAUGUGUUCCAUCCAUUGGUUUUUACUUUCCCACAAUUUUAUAUUUAAUACAGGAUUUAUUUACAAUAUAAAAAGAAAAAAAGUC